rnacentral:rRNA from 1 species
GACGAACGCUGGCGGCGUGCUUAACACAUGCAAGUCGAACGGUGAAGGGACCGGUUUUUGCUGGUUCUGGAUGAGUGGCGAACGGGUGAGUAACACGUGAGUAACCUGCCCCCUUCUUCUGGAUAACCGCAUGAAAGGGUGGCUAAUACGGGAUAUUCUGCGCCUGCUGCAUGGUGGGGGUGGGAAAGAUAUUGUUUCGGUGGGGGAUGGGCUCGCGGCCUAUCAGCUUGUUGGUGGGGUGAUGGCCUAACAAGGCGGUGACGGGUAGCCGGCCUGGGGGGGUCGGCCGUAACAGAGGGAAGGCAAGACCGACAAGACUACGGCAGGAGGCAGCAGUGAGGAUUAUGGAACAGUGGGAGGAAGCAUGGUGCAGCGACGCGGCGUGAGGGAUGGUGGCCUGAGGGUUGUAAACCGCUUUCGGCAAUGAAGCAGGGCUGAACCUUCUGUGGGUGGGUUGACGGUAGCUGGACAAGAAGCGCCGGCUAACUACGUG